rnacentral:rRNA from 1 species
CCUACGGGUGGCAGCAGUGGGGAAUAUUGGGCAAUGGGCGAAAGCCUGACCCAGCAACGCCGCGUGAAGGAAGAAGGCUUUCGGGUUGUAAACUUCUUUUGAUAGGGAAGAGCAGAAGACGGUACCUGUCGUAUAAGCCACGGCUAACUACGUGCCAGCAGCCGCGGUAAUACGUAGGUGGCAAGCGUUGUCCGGAUUUACUGGGUGUAAAGGGCGUGUAGCCGGGCUGACAAGUCAGAUGGGAAAGCCGGGGGCUCAACCCCCGAACUGCAUUUGAAACUGUUGGUCUUGAGUAUCGGAGAGGCAGGCGGAAUUCGUGGUGUAGCGGUGAAAUGCUUAGAUAUUAGGAAGAACACCAGUGGCGAAGGCAGCCUACUGGACGACAACUGACGGUGAGGCGCGAAAGCGUGGGGAGCAAACAGGAUUAGAUACCCUUGUAGUC